AAAGUCGUAACAAGGUUUCCGUAGGUGAACCUGCGGAAGGAUCAUUGAAAAUAUUGGCCGAAUGGCCGGUUUCCUUUGGGAAUCGCCACGUGUGGUAGGUCAACCAUGGAAAAUGAUAAGCAGCUACAGGUUUGUUAAAGACCUCCAGCUUGCUUUGAAAAUUUUAUGCUGAUCUGCACACUGACAGAGUAGGACGUUAAAGGCGUGAGCCUUUGUACUUCUCUUUUCACCUUUUUUUUUGUUUUAUUGCAAAACACCUAAUAAUUUUAGUCUGAUGAGUUCAGGGUUUCAAAGUCCGCUUUGGAUUUGUAAUCUUUGUGCAAAUUUUAUACAACUUUUAACAAUGGAUCUCUUGGCUCUC
rnacentral:misc_RNA from 1 species